UACGUAGGGGGCUAGCGUUGUCCGGAAUCAUUGGGCGUAAAGAGCGUGUAGGCGGCCCGGUAAGUCCGCUGUGAAAGUCGGGGGCUCAACCCUCGAAUGCCGGUGGAUACUGUCGGGCUAGAGUGCGGAAGAGGCGAGUGGAAUUCCUGGUGUAGCGGUGAAAUGCGCAGAUAUCAGGAGGAACACCGAGUGCGAAGGCAGCUCGCUGGGACGUAACUGACGCUGAGACGCGAAAGCGUGGGGAGCAAACAGG
rnacentral:rRNA from 1 species